GACAGAGGGUGCAAACGUUGUUCGGAAUUACUGGGCGUAAAGCGCGUGUAGGCGGCCCGGAAAGUCGGAUGUGAAAGCCCUGGGCUUAACCUAGGAAGUGCAUUCGAAACUCCCGGGCUUGAGUUCUGGAGAGGAAGGCGGAAUUCUCGGUGUAGAGGUGAAAUUCGUAGAUAUCGAGAGGAACACCAGUGGCGAAGGCGAGUCCCUGGACAAAACCUGACACUGAGGCACGAAAGCUAGGGGAGCGAACAGG
rnacentral:rRNA from 1 species